UACUGAGCAUGUGCAGUACAGGCGGUGAGAGAGGUGUCAGACCAUGCAUACCUGUUACAACUUGUUCUAAAGGUCUGAGCUGCAAUCAUAGCUCUGGGGUAGUGGUUGAUAUUGAGCAUGUUUGAAUGGGGUAAUUGCUUCUAAGAACAGGAAGGUAUAUGAGGAAAGAGCAAGAGUGCAGCCUAAAAGGCCAGCUGCCAGAUUUGGAUGUGGAGAAAGAGAGAGAGAGAGAGAGAGAGAGAGCGCACAAUUGGGACUGGGUGGAUGAUGAGGAGCUGCUGCAGGAAGAAAUAAAGAUGACAGGAGUGGACCAAAGUUAACUGACCAGAGCUGAGGAGCACCAACAGGCAGCUACUGUAAUUUAAAGGGAUCCCAAAGGAUUUAUACAAUGUUUUUCCUUAACAACCCCAGCAACUUAUACCGCAGGAUGGACAGCCUAACGUGCAAUAAGCAGGUUAUUCCAGGAAUGGCCAAGACUCCAUCUUUGGGCAUAACAAUAAAGAGCUGUUUUGGGAAGAUGUAAAGGAUUAAAAAAUCCCUGAG